rnacentral:ncRNA from 2 species
UUUUUCCUUCGGGGUCAGGUGAAAUUCCUAACCGGCGGUGAUAGAGGAUGCCCUCUUAAGCCCGUGACCCGUUUUCGAUUCAAUCGAAAACGGUGGAUUUGGUGAAAUUCCAAAGCCGACAGUUAAAGUCUGGAUGGGAGAAGGAAGGU